UACGUAGGGUGCGAGCGUUAAUCGGAAUUACUGGGCGUAAAGCGUGCGCAGGCGGUUGUGCAAGACAGGUGUGAAAUCCCCGGGCUUAACCUGGGAACUGCACUUGUGACUGCGCGGCUAGAGUACGGUAGAGGGGGAUGGAAUUCCGCGGUGUAGCAGUGAAAUGCGUAGAUAUGCGGAGGAACACCAAUGGCGAAGGCAAUCCCCGAUGGGACCAUCGUACGUGACGCUCCAUGCACGAAAGCGUGGGGAGCAAACAGG
rnacentral:rRNA from 1 species